rnacentral:rRNA from 1 species
CCUACGGGGGGCAGCAGUGGGGAAUAUUGCACAAUGGGCGCAAGCCUGAUGCAGCCAUGCCGCGUGUGUGAAGAAGGCCUUCGGGUUGUAAAGCACUUUCAGCGGGGAGGAAGGCGUUAAGGUUAAUAACCUUGGCGAUUGACGUCACCCGCAGAAGAAGCACCGGCUAACUCCGUGCCAGCAGCCGCGGUAAUACGGAGGGUGCAAGCGUUAAUCGGAAUUACUGGGCGUAAAGCGCACGCAGGCGGUCUGUCAAGUCGGAUGUGAAAUCCCCGGGCUCAACCUGGGAACUGCAUUCGAAACUGGCAGGCUAGAGUCUUGUAGAGGGGGGUAGAAUGCCAGGUGUAGCGGUGAAAUGCGUAGAGAUCCGGAGGAAUACCGGUGGCGAAGGCGGCCCCCUGGACAAAGACUGACGCUCAGGUGCGAAAGCGUGGGGAGCAAACAGGAUUAGAUACCCGGGUAGUC